AUAACCCUAACCUAGCCGAUUCAAUCCCAGCAACAGCCGCCCUAUCCUCCUCGUCAGCCGUCACCGCCGCCCCACAGCCUCGCCUCUACCAUCGCCCCCGCCGGUGCUAGCUGCAUCCGGCCAGGAGGUCAGUGCCCGGCACUAGCCGCAUCUAGCCUGGUGAUUAGUGCUCCACCUCGCUCCAGCCUCCAGCCCACGCCUAUAGGGGCCCCUGCCUAGCAGCCAGCCACUGUCGGCUAGGUGGUCAAUGCCCCCGCCCGCCGCCCAUGCCACGCCGCCAGCCGGCCAGCUGGCUAGCCGGCCCGCCACUGCUCCACUGUGCUCCAGUAGAUGGUGCGAUGCCCCCUUCCCUCGCCCUCGCUCUUCGUGGCUCUGAACUGAUCCACCUUCUGCGUUAGGCUCGAUUGUUUGCCGGCGAUGGUGCAGACCAACCUCUCCAUCGACAAGAUUAAUGCCAUGCUUAAGGCAUUCGACCAUACGAGAGGGUUCAUGUAGCAUGAUUACCACCUUGGCUAGAGGCACAACAUGCUCAUUAUGUGGUCAGAGUAGAACCACAAAUAUUUAUCACUUCAAUUUCCAUUCUCAUGGUCUCCGAUUGCUAACCACAAAUAUUUAAUGGUGCAAUUUCUAUGCUUGUGUUCUCUUAUUGCUAUAUUUUUCAUCAUUUGUAGGAGGUUGUCUUAGGUCACUGGAAUCAAAAUGGGAAACCUCCUAUGCAGAAUGUUUUGUAAUAUGUUUUUCAUAAGGCAUAGGAAAAAUUAGCAUAGGCAAAGAAAUGGGUCAAACCUCAUGUUGAGACUGCUAAGAUGAAAUGGAUUCCUGUUAAGGAGAAAUUGGUUCUCCUCAAGAAAAUGUAGAACAUAAUGUACAAAAGGUAUCAACAAGGUGUUAAUGAAUUCAACCUCAUAUUGAGAUUGCUAAGAUGAAAUGGAUUUCCGUUAAGGAGAAAUUGGUUGUCCUCAAGGAAAAUGCAGAACCUUAUGUACAAAUUGGUUGUCUUCAAAAUGUUGGUCAUGUAGCUGCAAGCCUACAACAAAGAGAAUCAACAAUGGUGGUGAUGCUACACAUGUAGAAGUAGCAAUGUUGGUCUUGUAAAUCCAAGAUUUGGUUGUUGAUGAAUGAUAUCUAUGAUAAUAUAUUGCUAAGUAUAUGUGAUGAUCAUUAAUUGUCGUUUAA